UAGAGUUUGAUCCUGGCUCAGAUUGAACGCUGGCGGCAGGCCUAACACAUGCAAGUCGAGCGGUAACAGAUCUAGCUUGCUAGAUGCUGACGAGCGGCGGACGGGUGAGUAAUGCAUAGGAAUCUGCCCGAUAGUGGGGGAUAACCUGGGGAAACCCAGGCUAAUACCGCAUACGUCCUACGGGAGAAAGGGGGCUUCGGCUCCCGCUAUUGGAUGAGCCUAUGUCGGAUUAGCUAGUUGGUAAGGUAAUGGCUUACCAAGGCAACGAUCCGUAGCUGGUCUGAGAGGAUGAUCAGCCACAUCGGGACUGAGACACGGCCCGAACUCCUACGGGAGGCAGCAGUGGGGAAUAUUGGACAAUGGGGGCAACCCUGAUCCAGCCAUGCCGCGUGUGUGAAGAAGGCCCUCGGGUUGUAAAGCACUUUCAGCGAGGAAGGACGCCUGUCGGUUAAUACCCGGUAGGAAAGACAUCACUCGCAGAAGAAGCACCGGCUAACUCCGUGCCAGGCAGCCGCGGUAAUACGGAGGGUGCAAGCGUUAAUCUGAAUUACUGGGCGUAAAGCGCGCGUAGGUGGCUUGAUAAGCCGGUUGUGAAAGCCCCGGGCUCAACCUGGGAACGGCAUCCGGAACGGUCAGGCUAGAGUGCAGGAGAGGAAGGUAGAAUUCCCGGUGUAGCGGUGAAAUGCGUAGAGAUCGGGAGGAAUACCAGUGGCGAAGGCGGCCUUCUGGACUGACACUGACACUGAGGUGCGAAAGCGUGGGUAGCAAACAGGAUUAGAUACCCUGGUAGUCCACGCCGUAAACGAUGUCGACCAGCCGUUGGGUGCCUAGAGCACUUUGUGGCGAGGUUAACGCGAUAAGUCGACCGCCUGGGGAGUACGGCCGCAAGGUUAAAACUCAAAUGAAUUGACGGGGGCCCGCACAAGCGGUGGAGCAUGUGGUUUAAUUCGAUGCAACGCGAAGAACCUUACCUACCCUUGACAUCUACAGAAGCCGGAAGAGAUUUUGGUGUGCCUUCGGGAACUGUAAGACAGGUGCUGCAUGGCUGUCGUCAGCUCGUGUUGUGAAAUGUUGGGUUAAGUCCCGUAACGAGCGCAACCCUUGUCCUUAUUUGCCAGCACGUAAUGGUGGGAACUCUAAGGAGACUGCCGGUGACAAACCGGAGGAAGGUGGGGACGACGUCAAGUCAUCAUGGCCCUUACGGGUAGGGCUACACACGUGCUACAAUGGCCGGUACAAAGGGCUGCGAGCUCGCGAGAGUCAGCGAAUCCCUUAAAGCCGGUCUCAGUCCGGAUCGGAGUCUGCAACUCGACUCCGUGAAGUCGGAAUCGCUAGUAAUCGUGAAUCAGAAUGUCACGGUGAAUACGUUCCCGGGCCUUGUACACACCGCCCGUCA
rnacentral:rRNA from 1 species